UACGUAGGGAGCAAGCGUUUGUCCGGAUUUAUUGGGCGUAAAGAGCUCGUAGGCGGCUUAGAAAGCCGGGUGUGAACCUCCAAGCUCAACCUGGAGACGCCACUCGAUACUUCUAUGGCUUGAGUUCGGUAGGGGACCAUGGAUUCCUGGUGUAGCGGUGAAAUGCGCAGAUAUCAGGAGGAACACCGAUGGCGAAGGCAGUGGUCUGGGCCGAUACUGACGCUGAGGAGCGAAAGCGUGGGGAGCGAACAGG
rnacentral:rRNA from 1 species